AUUAAGCGCACCCAAGCAAGCCAAAUUCUUAAGAUAUACUCAAUUAGGGUACAGCCUGAUUGAGAAAGGACACAACCUCAACCUUAGGAAAAUGACUAAAUUUUUAUAAUAAAACGACUAAGUUGGCUUAAAAGCAGCCACCUUUUAAAAAGCGUCUAAGCUUCAUCCUCCCUAACCCCAAUUCAAUUAUUUACUCAGAACCCGACACCCCCACUGGGCUUUUCUAUAAUAAUAUAGAAGUAAUUAUGUUAGAACUAGUAACACAGAAAUUUUCUCUUACAUGCACCUUUAAGUCAGGUCGAAUACGUCACUGACAGUUACCCAGUAUGAACCUAAAGUAAUAACUCCACCAGAAAAUCCUACUAAUAACCCUGUUAACCUAACACAAGCUCACGAAAGAAAGAUUACAAGGCCAGGAAGGAACUCGGCAAACACUAGUCCCGCCUGUUUACCAAAAACAUCGCCUUUUGAAUUCUAUAAAAGGUAACGCCUGCCCAGUGACUGCUCGUUAAACGGCCGCGGUACUCUGACCGUGCAAAGGUAGCGUAAUCACUUGUCUUUUAAAUAAGGACUAGUAUGAAUGGCAUCACGAGGACUAAUCUGUCUCCCUCCCCUAAUCAGUGAAACUGAUCCCCCCGUGCAGAAGCGGGGAUGACAUCAUAAGACGAGAAGACCCUGUGGAGCUUCAAAUCAAAAUCAACUACUAUACCCCACCCCAUAAGGACACACUCCCAUAGACUUGACUUAGAUUUUUAGCUGGGGCGGCUGUGGAGAAAAAACCAUCCUCCACGAAAUUCUACUCCAAGGGCUACUGCCCUAAGUAAUAAUAAAUUAAUUUAAUUGACCCAAUUUUUGAUCAACGAACCAAGUUACCCCAGGGAUAACAGCGCAAUCCACUUUUAGAGUCCAUAUCGACAAGUGGGCUUACGACCUCGAUGUUGGAUCAGGGCAC
rnacentral:rRNA from 18 species